UGGAUCAUUGAUGACCAAAAAAAAAAUCAUCUGGGAGUCCUCUGAGACAUCCAUGAUGACCACAACAUUGGGAGUCUGAGGUCCAC
rnacentral:snoRNA from 1 species